UACGGGGGGGGUAAGCGUUGUUCGGAAUUACUGGGCGUAAAGGGCUCGUAGGUGGCCAACUAAGUCAGACGUGAAAUCCCUCGGCUUAACCGGGGAACUGCGUCUGAUACUGGAUGGCUUGAGUUUGGGAGAGGGACGCGGAAUUCCAGGUGUAGCGGUGAAAUGCGUAGAUAUCUGGAGGAACACCGGUGGCGAAGGCGGCGUCCUGGACCAACACUGACACUGAUGAGCGAAAGCCAAGGGAGCAAACGGG
rnacentral:rRNA from 1 species